rnacentral:rRNA from 1 species
AACAAACGCUGGCGGCGUGCCUAAUACAUGCAAGUCGAACGGGGAAAGCUUUCGGGUGAGUACUAGUGGCGCACGGGAGAGUAACGCGUGGAUAAUCUGCCUUAGAGUGGGGGAUAACUAGUCGAAAGAUUAGCUAAUACCGCAUAAGACCACAAGAACUGCGGUUCAAGGGGUCAAAGGUUUUUCGCUCUAAGAUGAGUCCGCGUAAGAUUAGCUAGUUGGUGAGGUAAUGGCUCACCAAGGCGACGAUCUUUAACUGGUCGGAGAGGAUGAUCAGUAAGACUGGAACUGAGACACGGUCCAGACUCCUACGGGAGGCAGCAGUAGGGAAUAUUGCACAAUGGAGGAAACUCUGAUGCAGCGACGCCGCGUGAGUGAUGAAGGCCUUCGGGUCGUAAAGCUCUGUCGCAAGGGAAUAACACAAUGAAUGUACCUUGCAAGAAAGGAUCGGCUAACUUCGUGCCAGCAGCCGCGGUAAUAC